UACGAAGGGGGCUAGCGUUGCUCGGAAUUACUGGGCGUAAAGCGCACGUAGGCGGCUUUCUAAGUCGGGGGUGAAAUCCUGGAGCUCAACUCCAGAACUGCCUUCGAUACUGGAAAGCUCGAGUCCGGGAGAGGUGAGUGGAACUGCGAGUGUAGAGGUGAAAUUCGUAGAUAUUCGCAAGAACACCAGUGGCGAAGGCGGCUCACUGGCCCGGUACUGACGCUGAGGCGCGAAGGCGUGGGGAGCGAACGGG
rnacentral:rRNA from 1 species